AGCAGUCGCCGCGGUAAUACGAGGGGGGCAAGCGUUGUCCGGAAUUAUUGGGCGUAAAGGGUGCGUAGGCGGUUUGACAAGUCUUGUGUGAAAUCUAUGGGCUCAACCCAUAGUCUGCACAGGAAACUGUCGGGCUUGAGUAUUGGAGAGGUGAGUGGAAUUUCCGGUGUAGCGGUGAAAUGCGUAGAUAUCGGAAGGAACACCUGUGGCGAAAGCGGCUCACUGGACAAUAACUGACGCUGAUGCACGAAAGCUAGGGGAGCAAACAGGAUUAGAGACCCCAGUAGUCCCUGUCUCUUAUAA
rnacentral:rRNA from 1 species